rnacentral:pre_miRNA from 1 species
CUUUACCUGUGUUCGGAUGGUGUUCAGCACCAAGGACAGGUAUGUUCCCUCAUUGGUGUAUGGUGUUCAGCACCGAGGACAGGUAUGUUCGUUU